rnacentral:rRNA from 1 species
GACAGAGGGUGCAAACGUUGUUCGGAAUUACUGGGCGUAAAGGGCUCGUAGGCGGCCAACUAAGUCGGAUGUGAAAUCCCCAGGCUUAACCUGGGAACUGCAUCCGAUACUGGAUGGCUUGAAUCCGGGAGAGGGAUGCAGAAUUCCAGGUGUAGCGGUGAAAUGCGCAGAUAUCAGGAAGAACACCCGUGGCGAAGGCGGCUUUCUGGGACGGUACUGACGCUGAGACGCGAAAGCGUGGGGAGCGAACAGG